CUCUUACCAUCUCCCUAUUUCUUUACUCUCUCUCUCUCUGUAGUUAGAGAGUAGAAAGACGGCACCGGCCUUUCAGUGCCUCUAAACCUUAUCAUCUCUUCUCUCUCUCUGUCCCCCCUCCAUUAAUCCUCCACCCCUUCUCCAUGGAGCUUGAGAGACUAGCUAGGUACUCCUAUCUAGGGUUUUGCUUCUGCUGCAAUCCCCCCCCCCCCCCCUCUUGUUCUAGCGAGGGAGGGCGGGCCUUAUAUAUCCCUAGCUAGCUAUCCAUCUUGCCUAGAUGUAGCCAGCCAACCCCCUCAUCUCCCUCUUAAGCUAUGUGAGGUGGUCAUGCCAAGUGCCAACCAAUCCUCACCUUCUUCAUCCACAAACUUCUCUAGAUAUACUCAUGUAGAUCAAUCGUCUCAUCCCCGGCCCCUUCUUCACCGGCGGUGACUGCGGCGCGCGUUGAAAGAUACAUAGAUCGUGCAAUCCGGUUCUUGAUCCUUCGGUUCUAUAUCAUCUCCUGCCUUUGCUAUCUAUCUACAACUCAAGCUCGCAUCCCUGCCCCCUGUUGUUUUGUUAGAUGCAUGCUUCUCGUCCUCGAUCGGUACGUAUGUAUGCAUUCCUCUUCUUGAUCCAAAGUCUCAUUUGUACAUAUGUAUGCACAUAUCGAUCCAAACAUAUAGGUGUGGGAUCCCCUUCUUUCCUCUUCAUGAGGUUCUUUAAUUAGAUGCAUGUAUAGAUCUCCAUCUGUGAUACAUCUUCCUUGCCGGAUCACCUUGGAAGCUAUAGCUAGAGGAAUAUAUGCCGACGCAAGCAGUCGCUGAGAUGAAGCAAACAGUCGGUGCUUGCAGGUGCAGCAGCAUCAAGAUUCACAUCGAACUCAUCUUGAGAGGUGUGGUUUACAGUUGCUAUAAAUGAAUAUAUGAUGAGAAUCUUGAUGAUGCUGCAUCAGCAAACACUCACUCAUCGAUCACUUGAAGGGUGAGAAAAUCUCUGGUGCAAUUGUGUUCUAGCAGUCCUUUUUUGCUUUUACUUUGGUUAUUUUCACUUGAAUUACUAUCUCUUUGCACAUUGUUUUCACCUUGCAAAUAUGCACAAGUCCUAGUUCUAAUUCAUGGGGCUGAGGUUGGACCUAAAAAGAAGUGCCACCAAUGCUGUGAUUUCCUUCUCCUCUUCUUCGCUAACUCUAUUUCAAUUGGCACGAAGUCUUUAUUCUCAAGGCUGGCUGGCAGUGCCAGGUGAGUAUCUUGGUUUUGUGUGGUUCAUUGCCGGUUGGGGAGAAUACUUGACGAUUAAGGGGACACCAUGAUUUUAUGGUGUAUUAUGAGUUUAAUUAUUGCAAGAUCCCUUUCUGCGGCAGGAAGAUGGAAGCACACAUGCAUCAGUUCUCUUGGCAUCAUGAUGUGCACACUUGUUCAGUAAUUUUGAGGGCCAGGCUGCAUGCUAGCUGCAGCCAUGGGAAUAUCAAACACAAGGAGCUAGUGGAUGCGUCAUGAGCAGUGCUUGUUUCAUCAUCAAGCGAGGAAUCACUGGCUGGCUGGCUAGAUUGUUCAAUUCAAGUGGACCUUGCAGAGAGGGUCGGGCAGGAACGUAGUACAUGCUAUUAUGGUGCUAAGGGAAGGGGACCAAACAAUAUAGUGCAGCAUGCAGAGUGAUGCACCAGCAGCAGCUGCUGUGGGACGACAAACCUUGCAGACUGGUGGUACAACCUACUGUCUCAAAUUAAAGGUGAAAAUUUCCAUCUCACUUUACUUAUUACUUUGCCUUGCUUUCUGCAGGCUACAAACUGCAGCUCUGAUGUGGUGCUUUUCUUUAGUUUCAAUUCAUUGCAUAAAUAUAUAGUCGGCAAAUUAGAUCAUUGCUAAGUAUGGUGGGCCAGCUAAUACACACGGUGAGUCUAUUCUGCGAUUAGGUGUAACUGCAGUCACCUUUGCGCCACCCUCAAAUUACGAUUAAGAAAAUAGUUAGUUACAACGGUAUAGAUAGUUGAGUUACAAUCACAUGAUAAAAAGUAUAUGAUUACAAUUAGAUUAGGUACCGAAUUACGAUCAUAUAUAUUUGUAACAACUGACAUAUCUUGUGGAUCACAAUCAUACUCUUUUAUGACUGUAAUUAGAGAUGUGCGCAGAGAUGAACAAGUUACGAUCACAUGAUAAAAAAUACAUAUUACGACUAGAGAAGAUACCGAGUUACGGUCAUAUAUAUUUGCAGUAACUGAUCCAUCUUGUAGAUUGUAAUUAUACUAUUUUUAGGAUCGUAAUUGAGAAUGUAUGCAUAGGUGAACUACAUUGCGCAUAGGCACAUAAUACGCACACACAAAUGCUAUUCUACAUCCUAGGUGUAGUAUAUUAUUCUACACAUACUGAAUAAAAUUUCAAUACUACCGAACAAAAUUACAGUAGUAAAAUACGUUUCAGUAGUUACUACCGAAAUCUUGUUCAGUAGGUGUAGAAUAGUACGCUACACCAUAUGUGUAAAAUAGCACUAUUGUACACACACGCACGCGCGCGCACACACAUAUACACACACACGACGAGUCUAUUUAGCGCCUAGGCGCAACAGUGACCUACAUUACAUCACCCUCAGUUGUUGCAGCCACCUUUGCACCACCCCAUUUACGACUAAGAAAGUAGUUAGUUACGACGGCACAUAUAUGUGAGUUACGAUCACAUGAUAAAAAAAUAUAAUUAUAAGAAGCAUUGUAGUUUACUGCUGUACUACCCUCAGUUACGACUAAGAAAAUACUAGUCAGUUACAACAUCACAGAUAGUUGAGUUACGAUCAUAUGAAAAAAAGUCAGUUACAAUAUUAACUAUUUUGCUUUUUGGAUCGUAACUAGGAUGUGCGCAGAGGUGAUCCAGUUAUGAUCACAGUUACGACUAAGAAAAUAAUCAGUUACGACAGCACAUAUAGUUGAGUUAUGAUCACAUGACAAAAAAUCAAUUACGAUAGCAAUUAUACUGCUUUUGGGAUCGUAACUGCGGGUGUGGCAGAGGUGACCUAAUUGUGAUCACAUGAUUAAAAAAACAUAAUUAUGACUAUAUAAGGUAUCUCGUUACGACCAUAUAUGUUUGUAGUAACUGAUCUAUCUUGUGAGUCGUAACUAUAUUGUCUUUUUUAUUGUAACUGUGGGAUGACGCAACAGUAAAUACAAUGCAACUAGACACAUAAUAUAUAUAUAUAUAUAUAUAUAUAUGCCUUAAAUAGCUUGAUCAAGGGAAAAAUAGGAGCGUGCAUCGGAAAUUUUCUGAGAUUGAAAUGAGAAAUGCUGCAAAGUAGCUAGGCUAAGUAUGAAAAAUUGGAGAAAAAACUCAAAUACAGUUUAUAAUUCUGCAUGAAUUAACCUGUACAUGCGUCGUCAUUGAAUAAAUUGUACUAUAGCAGGUUUUGAAAUUAAUAGCAUGUGUGAGUACUUUUACUGCAUUGAGCGCAUUUACAUGAAUUUGUAGCUAGUUCCACUUCCACCAUGCUUUGAUGGCCUGCAUAUGUAAAUACUUCAGAGAAGAAGUACUAUAUAUUUGAACACAAACUGUGGAGUUUUUACUGCAUGUGCAUGCAUGCAAUUGAAUUGUUUCAGUGCCAGUACUAUCUUGCCGCCGGCGUGUAAACCUGAGUACGUACAUGCUGCAUGCCUGCAACUGCAACCUGAUCUCACUGGCCUGCCAUACGCAGAUAUUGCUCGAUAGCUCCCCCAUUUAGACUGAUCAGAUUGGCUACUGCCUGAUGCACAAUCGCUGCUGCUGUCGUCUGAUGAAAACUUGAGGCUUACGUGAGCACAUCGAUCUCAUAACCAUAAAAGCAAAUACUUGAUUCAUGCAGAGAUAUCUAUCUGCCUCUGCACAAUUAGGAGAUCAUCAAUUUACGUACUUGCAUGCAGUGUCAUAUAUAGAUGCUUUCAUUAUUAACUGGCAGAUUUACUGAUCCAAGCGGUGAAGCUUGCAGCAGCUAGCAUAUGAUCGAAUGAGUGAUAUGAGAAGAAAAAUGCAUGAGGCCGGUGUGGUCGAUGGAUGGAUCUAUGUAUCACGAGCAGCGGCGGUUUGCAUUCAUGCUGGACCAUGCGUACGUGCAUUAUGCAUAUACAUGCCCAUAAAGCUGCGUACGUGCAUGUGGUGGGCGAUCGAUCGGACGGUCGUGUUGGUCCCGUGCCGUGCGUACCUGACGGGCAAUAAGGUUGAUGCCGCCUGUAAUUGUAUCAUUUUGCAGUGCAGUCUGCAGUGCCGGUCACACCAGCACAGCAAUGUACGGACGGGCGUGUCCUAUACGGUUUGGUGAGGUUUGGUCUUGGUGCUCUUCACAUGAAGUGAUUGUUCAAGCUCUAAAAUGAUGGUGUACCAGUUUAAAAUUCACUGAUCCGGAGUGAAAGAUUACCACUAGAGAUCAUUUGGUCUCUUGUGCAAAUCAAGAGGGAGCUGCACCCUUGCAUAGAAGACUACCACUAGAGAUCUGGAGUGGAAGACUACCACUAGAGAUUAUUUGGUCACUUGUACAGAUCAAGAGGGAGCUAAGGUCUUGUAUGGGUGCUUCAACGAGUAUUAGAGAGAGCUUCAACUCCUCGAUAUUUUAAAAAAUCAAGUCUUCCUAUCUCCUUUUACAUUGAGCAAUUUAUUUCUAACAUUUAAUUUCUUGUAAUUUUCUUUAUUAGGGUUGUCAUGAUACAGUAGAGUGGGAACAUGAUUGAGCUUCCGAUUGAUUCAC